CGUGCCGUGCCGUGCCGUGCCGUGCCGUGCCGUGCCGUGCCGUGCCGUGCCGCGGGAGCCGCCCAGCGCGGGGGCCGCCGGUGCGGCGGGAGCGGAGCGGAGCGGAGCGGGGCGGUGGCGGUGGCGGCAUG